UACUGCGGCGGCCGCCUCAUGCUGGCCGGCCACGGCGGCGUCUUCGCGCUCACGCUGCUGCUCAUCCUCAGCACCACCAUCCUCUUCUUCAUCUUCGACUGUCCCUACCUGGCCCGCACACUGACCCUGGCCAUCCCCAUCAUCGCCGCCAUCCUCUUCUUCUUCGUCAUGAGCUGUCUCCUGCAGACCAGUUUCACUGACCCCGGCAUCCUACCCCGGGCCACCAUCUGUGAGGCAGCUGCCCUGGAGAAGCAGAUCGAUAACACAGGCAGUUCCACAUACCGCCCGCCCCCUCGGACUCGGGAGGUGAUGAUCAACGGACAAAUGGUGAAGCUCAAGUAUUGCUUCACCUGUAAGAUGUUCCGUCCGCCCCGGACCUCACACUGCAGUGUCUGUGACAACUGUGUGGAACGGUUUGACCAUCACUGCCCUUGGGUGGGCAACUGUGUGGGGAGACGGAAUUACCGCUUCUUUUAUGCCUUUAUUCUCUCCCUCUCCUUCCUGACGGCCUUCAUCUUCGCCUGCGUGGUCACCCACCUGACCCUGC
rnacentral:lncRNA from 1 species